rnacentral:lncRNA from 1 species
UAGUGGUGUGUCGGUCUUGAACGAACGGAUCAAAAGAACUAGUUCUUUUUGAUGAACGAAAUGAACUAGUUCUCCCCCCCCAAAUGACCCGUUCAAUCCGUUCAGUUCUUUUGAUUGGCUGAAGAGGGACUGCUUGCCUGUCUUAUCCUAUCGUCGCGCCUCGUUCUGUGUGUGGGUGGGGCUUAGAGAAGCAGCAGCAGUACUACUGAGCUGACUGAAAGACCGGAAUGACCGAGUUGACUGAAAGAACGGGUCAAAUGAACGAAAGACCUAGUUGACUGAAAGAACGGGUCAAAUGAACGAAAGACCGAGUUGAACGAAAGACCCAGACCGAUGAACGAGUUGAACGAAAGACCGAGUGAACGAAAGAUCCAGAUGGAUGAACGAGUUGAACGAAAGACCGAGUGAACGAAAGACCGAGUGAACGAAAGACCCAGACCGAUGAACGAGUUGAACGAAAGACCGAGUGAACGAAAGAUCCAGACGGAUGAACGAGUUGAACGAAAGACCGAGUGAACGAAAGAUCCAGACGGAUGAACGAGUUGAACGAAAGACCGAGUUGAGUGGCCGCCGCACGAGGCCUGACAGCCGAGCCGGAGCAAGCGGGACAGUCACACACACGCAAAGGCACACAGCUGCUGCUGCAGCCAGAGGCAGAGAGACAACUAUUAAUACGCAUUUGCACUGUCUGUUGACAUUUUGUACUUUUUAUUAUUGUUUUUAAUGCACCUCAAAAUAAUAAAAAACCUUAUAUAUUUUGUUACUCCUACUAUAAUUUUAUAUAACAAGUAGUGCAGUGAGAUCGCAGCGUUGGACCGGGGGUGGGAAGUGGAGAGUGCAGCGGUC